AGUCGCAUCUAUUCCGAGCCUAUAAUUUGAACCCGUAAAAUAAAAAUUCACUAUUUAAAAAACAAUUGGAUCAAAAGCUAAGGAUGAUGAAAGAAAAUUAGGUUUGGUUUAUAAUUUUCAGAUUGAGUAAGAGAAUAUUUUUCUCUUUUUAGCCGCCAAGGUCUCAUCACCACGAAAACAGCUUCACCACCAAAGUUGCCGACCAAACGACCUCAUCCCUCAACCAUUUCUUCUCCAAAAACAACAGAACACGCCUCCAAACAGCGACCAACAACCACCACAAACCCCUCUUCCUUUUCCCAUUUUCUCGAACAAAAAGCACCAACAAACCGCCCAAACCCACCACCACAAACUACCGAAAACAAACCCAAAAAUCCAAAGCUAAUAUUCUUAUUUCUCCAGUGACCGACUUCCAGUCCCAUUACCCUUUCCCCUUUUAAAUUUUUUAUUUAUAUUUAUAGGUAUUUCAGUCUUAAUUCCGACAAUACGACCUCCACUGUCCGGCGAAGGAGCUCCUCCAUCGAAAUCCGAGCUUGGGCCACCAGACCACACCAGUUGUCGCCAGAAAUGGCAGAGAUAAGUCACCGUCAAGCUCGAAACUAUCACAAACCUGCUUCAGUAUUUUGAUAAGGGCCAACGUCACACAUCAGCACUGGAUUUUUAAAUGAGCAACAAAACAUGGACACUAAGGAGCAAAAAGGAACAAGACAGCUUAAAGAACGAAGAAGAGAAAGCUUGAAGAUCGCCUAACCUUUUAGGUGUGUCUCCAAAUAGCCUUUCUCUGACCUUAUGUUCCUGUGUGCUAAUCCCUGAAUGAGAAAAUCAAGUCGGGAGUAGAAAGAAGUAGUUGCCGAGUCGCCAAAUGGUUCAGCAAUGUAGUGCUAUAUCACCCAAAGUUACAGAACCUCAAGGAUACUGAAGGCAAAGGCCAAACAACAAUACUAAUGGCAAAGAGCAGAUCACCGAGUGGAUCGGUGAUCCCGACUUAUUGCGCAGACUGAUUUUUUGCAGCAUAAUUUUUGACAACUAUAAAAAUGUUUUUAAAUUCUUAAUUUACUAUCUUGACAUUGAGUAAUCGGAUAGAGAGUGGUUAAUCUAAUUUUGAACAUUGUCUUAAUUUUUCAAAUUUGGAGACAUUUUCCCUUUGCUUUUGAAGAUUUGGACAUUUCCAAUUCCAAGAUAUUAGAAGUUGGUGUUCAAUAUUAUUCAUUGUAGACCUAUGUAAAGACUAUAUCAAUUGUUCCUAUUUGAUGGAAAUACCAGUUGAUAUCGA